rnacentral:sRNA from 1 species
CUGGCAGCCCUGCGGAAACCCUCUAACCACAGAACAGGCAUGGCCUGGGCAGUGCAGCAGCUUCCUUUGCAGCCCUGCUGAUGUGCUUCAACCCUCCUCCAGAGGGGCCUAUUCUAGGAAUAAGACGUGGGUCUUCACAGCUUACCCCAAUCCCUGAGCUAUC